rnacentral:lncRNA from 1 species
AUGGUCUCGCUGGCUCAGGAGUGAAGCUGCAGACCUUCGCUGUGAGUGUUACAGCUCUUAAGGCAGCGUGUCUGGAGUUGUUCGUUCCUCCCAGUGGGCUUGUGGUCUCGCUGGCCUCAGGAGUGAAGCUGCAGACUUUCACGGUGAGUGUUACAGCUCAUAAAAGCAGUGUGGACCCAAAAGAGUGAGCAGCAGCAAGAUUUAUUGCAAAGAGGAAAAGAAUAAAGCGUCCACAGUGUGGAAGGGGAUAUGAGCGGGUUGCCACUGCUGGCUCGGGUAGCCUGCGUUUAUUCUCUUAUCUGGCCCCACUCACAUCCUGC